UGAUGAUACCAUCUAUCAUCUUUUCAUAUAUGUGGAAAUCAUUCUAAAACAGAAAAUGGAAAUCAAUCAACAAAGAGGUUUACAGAUGAGGAGGCAUACAAAGACUCCCCAGCUACAAGUCUGAUGAAUAUAACAGGAAACUUGUUACGUCACCAUGCACAGCAACAUCAUUCUGGCUAUAGAUACGGAGAACAUCAACACGCCAGAGGAUAUAAUCCAUCGGA